UGUCUACUACUGGAGACACUGG
rnacentral:miRNA from 3 species